rnacentral:tRNA from 1 species
GCCUGGCUAGCUCAGUUGGCAGAGCAUGAGACUCUUAAUCUCAGGGUCGUG